CCAGACUCCUACGGGAGGCAGCAGUGAGGAAUAUUGGUCAAUGGGCGGGAGCCUGAACCAGCCAAGUCGCGUGAGGGAAGAAGGUACUGAGUAUUGUAAACCUCUUUUGCCAGGGGACAAAGGCGGCCACGGGUGGCCGUAAGAGGGUACCUGGAGAAAAAGCAUCGGCUAACUCCGUGCCAGCAGCCGCGGUAAUACGUAGGUGACAAGCGUUGUCCGGAUUUACUGGGUGUAAAGGGCGCGUAGGCGGACUGUCAAGUCAGUCGUGAAAUACCGAAGCUUAACUUCGGGGCUGCGAUUGAAACUGACAGCCUUGAGUAUCGGAGAGGAAAGCGGAAUUCCUAGUGUAGCGGUGAAAUGCGUAGAUAUUAGGAGGAACACCAGUGGCGAAGGCGGCUUUCUGGACGACAACUGACGCUGAGGCGCGAAAGUGUGGGGAGCAAACAGGAUUAGAUACCCGUGUAC
rnacentral:rRNA from 1 species